AUGCUUUGGAAAGCUCUGUCAUUCUUAGGUACGAACAAACUCUCUAAGCUUAAUCAAUUUUACAAGCAGAGGAGUAAGAAGGGUUGGGCCACUGCUGGCGAUCGUAAUACUAAGUUUUUCCAUCAAGCUGUGAUCAAGCGAAGGAAAAGGAAUACUAUUUGUUCCAUUAAGGAUGAAAAUGGCAUACUCCAUUUCAAACCUAGUGAUGUCACCAAUACGUUUGUCAACUAUUUUAGAUACAUCUUCUCUUCGCCUAAUGAUAACACUUUGCCUACUAACUCUUUGGAUCCUACUUAUUCCAUUCCUGAUAAACAUGAAGUCUUGCAGAUUCUCAAAGAGAUGAAGUUGAAUGCUUCUCCGGGUCCGGAUGGUUUUAAUGUCGAAUUUUACUUGGUGGCUUGGGAUUGGAUAGGAGAGGAGGUCACUCAACUUGUGGCUAAGUUUUAUGAAACUGGUAUUUUGCCUCCUCACAUUAAUGACACCAAUAUUGCUCUCAUUCCAAAAAAGUUAGUCCCUCAGGUUCCUAUGGAUUAUCGUCCC
rnacentral:rRNA from 1 species